GUCUCCGACUUGUCCUUGCUGGAGCACAGAUGGACCAAGGCUUCCUGGAGAGUUUCUAGUCCGGAAGGUCUGUGGCGGGAGGAAGAGUGCAUCCCUAACAACCCGUUGCUGAUGCUGCUGGCCUGGGAUGACACUGUGAGAGCCACUGUCUUGGGGCCUGGACUCAAGAAAAUAAUCUGGCAGGAUGGUUUCAAUUUGAAAUGCAUAUCCUGUGACCCACCCAAUCCCCACUCCUGGGAAUCUAUGCCACAGAAACAAAUUCAAGUCACUGCCUUUCAAAUCAGAUGAUGCAGCUUGGAUCAGCCCUUGGGUAGGUGGCAGAGUGGAUGCCAGGAAUAGGGUCAUCGUCAGCUGCUGUACCUGGACUUGAGUUCCGGAGUCCACAGCCAUCAAAUCCAUGCUCUCCAGGGAGUCAACUUCCACUAGAUUUUCACUGUCAUUCCAGAUGGAUAAUCUGCAGCCUAUGAACCAAAGGUUAAAUUUAACCACAAUAACAUAAUUCAUACACAAUAAUGAGAGGAAUAAAAGGGAAGGACAGGGAGAAUCGGGA